GGGUGCCAACCGGCUGGGGCGGUUCCUGCCGAACCGGUGCGGUUCCGGACGCAGAGGCUGAAUAACUUUGGGCUCCACGGGGGGCACGCAGCCACCGGCGAGAUGGGGACGGCCUCUUGACCCUCAACCGCCCCCCUGUCGCCCUGAAGCACCCGGCCCGGGGCUCGACCCCACGGCCAGUGUGUGGGACCUUGACCUUCGGGACGGCCAUGGAGGCCGGCGGGGAAGAGGGGGCCACAUAAUCGGCUCGGCGGCGACCCCACUCCGUCCGGCACUCGCUGCAAGAGCUUCGCAGGGCUCAUG